GGUCACCAAGGGACGAUCCGUAGCGGUUCUAGAGGAUGAUCCGCCACACUGGACUGAGACACGGCCCAGACUCUUACGGGAGGCAGCAGUGGGGAAUUUUGGACAAUGGGCGCAAGCCUGAUCCAGCCAUGCCGCGUGAGUGAAGAAGGCCUUCGGGUUGUAAAGCUCUUUCGGCGGGGAAGAAAUCGCACCGGUUAAUACCCGGGGUGGAUGACGGUACCCGAAUAAGAAGCACCGGCUAACUACGUGCCAGCAGCCGCGGUAAUACGUAGGGUGCGAGCGUUAAUCGGAAUUACUGGGCGUAAAGGGUGCGUAGGUGGUUUUGUAAGUUAGGUGUGAAAGUCCUGGGCUUAACCUGGGGAUUGCGCCUGAUACUGUGAGACUAGAGUAUUGUAGAGGAAAGUGGAAUUUCCGGUGUAGCGGUGAAAUGCGUAGAUAUCGGAAGGAACAUCAGUGGCGAAGGCGAUUUC
rnacentral:rRNA from 1 species